CUUUAUAAUAAUUAGCACAGUUUGUACAGUCUCUGAGAACUGCCAGCAAAAGGACUAUUAACUUUGGUUAAUGCUGGAACUGUCUCAGCCGUGCUAUCGUUUAACCCAUUGCUGCAUUUUUAAGGGGAGAAAAGUUGUGAUUGUUCUCAAAGGCUCCAUCAGGCCAGCCAUUAAUUACCAAAACUCAUUAAUUAUAACAGAUCGGCUGCUAUAAAAUCCCUUUAACUGAACUUUUGCAAUGAUCAGUACGGAAAUGGUGACAAAUACAGGCAGAACUGUCCCUUUUAAAUUGCUGGCGUUUUAUCUCUCAUCGAAUCCCUAUCUGAAAUUGAGAAAAAUGACCAGUAAGGUUCAGAAACUCAUUCUUCAGAAGAUCAAAGUCAGAAAAUUCUGCUAAUUCCCUUUGAGACAGAAAUAGGAAUUAUAGUUAAGAGACUUCUCCCCGUGACUUUUUCUUUCAUGUUAAGACUCUCUAAUUGUUCCCCAGGUGUAUCUCCCAUUGUAUUCCACUGUAAACUAAUUUGCUGAGCUAUCAGGAACCCGAGAAAAAUCUCUCAGUUAAAAACUGCUUCUCGCAAGAGCAGCUGAAAAGCACACAUUCCGAAGAACCGCAGCAAUGCCCUAUUCCUCAUUGCUCCCAGCAAACAUGCCUGCAGCCUUUGGUCUUGUUUUUUGGUCAACCUCGGUCUUGUCUUGUGGUUCAGGGCUCACGGCUCAGUGUUUACAGGCAGAAUUUCAGCUGAGUGUUCUGAGUUUAUGAAAGCACUUUUACCUUGAUUUUUUUAUUUUUAUUUUUUGUCUCUUCUAGUGCCAGGUUAUUCCUAGAGCAGCUCUCAUUGCUUUGCUUUGUCUCACAUUGCCAUACGGCUGCAAUGCCACCAAUCUACGGGGCAUCCACUCUCCGGCCUGCAGAGGUGUGCAGAGGAAGAAUACACAAAGGAAGGGGAAGGGCUGUAUGCUGUCUGCACGUGUUCUGCAGGUGAUAUUAGGGAAGGUCAGCAGGAAAAAAGGAUGGCCUGUGGAAAGGUAUUCUGCCCUCCAAUUUUAAAAUACCUUUGAGCUCUUACUUUGUAAAAGAAGGAACUGAUGACCUGGUGGCUAAAGAGUAUUGCCAAUUCAAAGGCAAUCGGUUCUUGGAAUAAUUUUGAGGCAUGUUGAGCCAUUUUCCAUAUUUUUCUUUCAUCUUUUUGUAGGAAAAUUUCAGAUUUGAUCUUUUAUUUCCUAUAUUGGCUACAAGAGAGGAUUUGUUUUGCUGUGCCAUGGUACAAAUCAUUUUCAUGUUAGAAAACCAAAACGCAUUAGCUGUGCUUUUACUUGGUGCAGAAGACAGAGGCAUUGGUACUGUAACACAGCGUGUUUUCUGCUCAGUGCAUGGUAUCAUGGCUGGAAAUCCUGAAAUUUGGAGCUACAGAGCACUUCACCCCACAUCUGGGAGGGUAUUCACACUGAGAUCCGAGCAACUCCCAAUGGGCAACUGCUGGCAUUUCGGCUUUUAUUUUGGUCACUGGGUUGAGUGGACCCUGAGAAACACUGGCAAAAAAAUAAACCCUACUCCUAAGCCUAGAUAAAGUUGCAGAUGCUUCAGGCUGAUGCCUGGGACAAGGAAUUAGUAAAAUUAUUAUUCAUUUCAAUGGUGGCUCUUUCAGUGUGGGGCAACACAUCGAUUCUGAGCCUGCUCCGUGAUCAUUUUCCUUUUCGUUAGCGGUAUUUCCUGCCAAAAUUAAUCAGACACUCCUUGAUGCUGG
ensembl:lncRNA